rnacentral:rRNA from 1 species
AGCACUUUAUACUGUGAAACUGCGAAUGGCUCAUUAAAUCAGUUAUCGUUUAUUUGAUAGUACCUUACUACAUGGAUACCUGUGGUAAUUCUAGAGCUAAUACAUGCUGAAAACCUCGACUUCGGAAGGGGUGUAUUUAUUAGAUAAAAAACCAAUGCCCUUCGGGGCUCCUUGGUGAAUCAUAAUAACUUAACGAAUCGCAUGGCCUUGCGCCGGCGAUGGUUCAUUCAAAUUUCUGCCCUAUCAACUUUCGAUGGUAGGAUAGUGGCCUACCAUGGUGGCAACGGGUAACGGGGAAUUAGGGUUCGAUUCCGGAGAGGGAGCCUGAGAAACGGCUACCACAUCCAAGGAAGGCAGCAGGCGCGCAAAUUACCCAAUCCCGACACGGGGAGGUAGUGACAAUAAAUACUGAUACGGGGCUCUUUUGGGUCUCGUAAUUGGAAUGAGUACAAUCUAAAUCCCUUAACGAGGAACAAUUGGAGGGCAAGUCUGGUGCCAGCAGCCGCGGUAAUUCCAGCUCCAAUAGCGUAUAUUAAAGUUGUUGCAGUUAAAAAGCUCGUAGUUGAACCUUGGGUCUGGCUGGCCGGUCCGCCUCACCGCGAGUACUGGUCCGGCUGGACCUUUCCUUCUGGGGAAUCUCAUGGCCUUCACUGGCUGUGGGGGGAACCAAGACUUUUACUGUGAAAAAAUUAGAGUGUUCAAAGCAGGCCUUUGCUCGAAUACAUUAGCAUGGAAUAAUAGAAUAGGACGUGCGGUUCUAUUUUGUUGGUUUCUAGGACCGCCGUAAUGAUUAAUAGGGAUAGUCGGGGGCGUCAGUAUUCAGCUGUCAGAAGUGAAAUUCUUGGAUUUGCUGAAGACUAACUACUGCGAAAGCAUUCGCCAAGGAUGUUUUCAUUAAUCAGGGAACGAAAGUUAGGGGAUCGAAGACGAUCAGAUACCGUCGUAGUCUUAACCAUAAACUAUGCCGACUAAGGAUCGGACGGUGUUUCCAUUAUGACCCGUUCGGCACCUUACGAAAAAUCAAAGCUUUUGGGAUUCCGGGG